CCUCCACCUGGUCAGCUCCCCUGUGUCUGCGUCCUCUCAUCUUCUUAUAGGGAUGCCAGUCGGAGUGGACACAGGGCUUCAUCCUGACGGAUCCCAUCCACAAAGACCCUCUUUUCCAAAUAAGGCCACGUUCUGAGAUUCCAGUUCCAGGAGCAGUCCACCACCACCUCCUCCCAUCUAACCUCUGGUAAGACCAGUGGACCGAGUGGUUCCUGCCAGAGUCCAGGCGGCCCGGGAGCUGGGCCCAGGCAGUUCUCAUGACCUGUGCAAGACCCAUCCUCUCUCUGGCCCUCAGUUUCCUGGUCUGCAACACGGGGAAUCUUUGACAAGACUCGCCUUCCUGCUGGUGUUAGGAGAACAGAUGAGAGAGUGACUGAGAGCACCUUGUCAAUUGCAAAGCUCUCUACAGAAAGUAAGGUGCCCAGUAAGCAAUGAUGUCACCCGCUGACUCGGGACCAGGCUGCCGGGAGCCUGGGAGCCUGCGCCUGUCUGGCAGUCAGAGAACCGGCUACAGCCCUUCCCUCGAAGAACUUUUCUCCUCCAGCAAAUGAGCAAGAGCUGUGUCCUCUGGCGUCCAGGGGUUGCUGGGAGAAUGAAUGAAGACCUGGCAGCCAUGUUGAUGUUGUCGUCAUAGAACAGACCAGAGGCCACACUCCUGGCCUGCUCUUGAACAGCCUCUGAGAUAUUGCUGUGCCCUCC